UACGGGGGGGGCAAGCGUUGUUCGGAAUUACUGGGCGUAAAGGGCUCGUAGGUGGCCAACUAAGUCAGACGUGAAAUCCCUCGGCUUAACCGGGGAACUGCGUCUGAUACUGGAUGGCUUGAGUUUGGGAGAGGGACGCGGAAUUCCAGGUGUAGCGGUGAAAUGCGUAGAUAUCUGGAGGAACACCGGUGGCGAAGGCGGCGUCCUGGACCAACACUGACACUGAGGAGCGAAAGCAUGGGGAGCGAACAGG
rnacentral:rRNA from 1 species